rnacentral:sRNA from 1 species
GCUGGGCAUGGUGGCGCAUGCCUGUAAUCCCAGCGGCUCGGGAGACUGAGGCAAGAGAAUUGCAAGUUCAAAGCCAGACACAGCAAUGGUGAGGCGCUAAGUAACUCAGUGAGACUCUGUCUCUA